rnacentral:rRNA from 1 species
AGUGAACGCUGGCGGUAGGCCUAACACAUGCAAGUCGAACGGCAGCACAGUAAGAGCUUGCUCUUACGGGUGGCGAGUGGCGGACGGGUGAGGAAUACAUCGGAAUCUACUUUUUCGUGGGGGAUAACGUAGUGAAACUUACGCUAAUACCGCAUACGACCUACGGGUGAAAGCAGGGGAUCUUCGGACCUUGCGCGAUUGAAUGAGCCGAUGUCGGAUUAGCUAGUUGGCGGGGUAAAGGCCCACCAAGGCGACGAUCCGUAGCUGGUCUGAGAGGAUGAUCAGCCACACUGGAACUGAGACACGGUCCAGACUCCUACGGGAGGCAGCAGUGGGGAAUAUUGGACAAUGGGCGCAAGCCUGAUCCAGCCAUACCGCGUGGGUGAAGAAGGCCUUCGGGUUGUAAAGCCCUUUUGUUGGGAAAGAAAAGCAGCAGGUUAAUACCCCGCUGUUCUGACGGUACCCAAAGAACAAGCACCGGCUAACUUCGUG